rnacentral:rRNA from 1 species
AUUGAACGCUGGCGGCAUGCCUUACACAUGCAAGUCGAACGGCAACGGGCCUUCGGGUGCCGCCGAGUGGCGAACGGGUGAGUAAUACAUCGGAACGUGCCCGAUCGUGGGGGAUAACGAGGCGAAAGCUUUGCUAAUACCGCAUACGAUCUACGGAUGAAAGCAGGGGACCGCAAGGCCUUGCGCGGACGGAGCGGCCGAUGGCAGAUUAGGUAGUUGGUGGGAUAAAAGCUUACCAAGCCGACGAUCUGUAGCUGGUCUGAGAGGAUGAUCAGCCACACUGGGACUGAGACACGGCCCAGACUCCUACGGGAGGCAGCAGUGGGGAAUUUUGGACAAUGGGCGCAAGCCUGAUCCAGCCAUGCCGCGUGCAGGAUGAAGGCCUUCGGGUUGUAAACUGCUUUUGUACGGAACGAAAAGCCUUCUUUUAAUACAGGAGGGUCAUGACGGUACCGUAAGAAUAAGCACCGGCUAACUACGUG